GACUAGCCAGCAAGAAUGACG
rnacentral:misc_RNA from 1 species